rnacentral:lncRNA from 1 species
AGAAAUUUUGGUUAUAUGAGAAUAUCAGGCUAUCAAUACUACUAAUUGUCAAUUGAGCAAACAUAGAUAAAUUGAGAUAAGGAGUAUAGUUUGCUUGGUAAUAUAUGAUUGGAUAUAUUCUCCUUCAACAUUCACUUUGCAAUGAGUCACCUACAAUUUUUAAAAAUAAGAUAUAUUUUAAUACGACAUGUAAAGAGGUUCAUAACAAAAUAUUAAUUAUGUAAAAUUAAUAAAAGUGCGAGUAAACACGUACCAUUUUUUAGAAUAAUUUGGUGAAUGGAGAUGUAAAAGUUUAUUUGCUUGUGCUUUAGAAGAAUGUAUUAGAGAUGUGUGAUAUUUGGUGAUGUGAAUG